GAGUACCCAGGGACACAAUACACUGCGGAAGGCCACAGGGACCUCUGCCCAGGAAAGCCAGAUGAUGCAUAUCAUAAAUUAUUACUCAUCCCAUGUUUCCACCCUCGAGAGACCUCCAAACAAUCACCAUGCCACAGUGAACAUUCAGUAACAAAGAUUCAGCCAGGGUUUUCACCAGCCUGAAUGGCAGUGAUUCCAAUAAGGAAAAUAGAGAGAGGAGAGUUCAGAGCCACCUAGAAUGGCUCUUGCAAGACACGAAAUCUAGGCAGCAGCAACAGGGCUGAACAUUCCUCCUCCCUAACUCUCCGUUCACCAGUGAGAAACCCAGGAUAACUGCAAUCACCGCAGGCCAUCUGGCCUGAAGUUCUACCACUAGUAGCCCUCCAUGGGACCUUCUUAAGGAAGCAUGUCAACUCAGGUAAGGAAUGUAAGGGGAUGGAUGACCCUUUGAGACCAAAGUUGGAGCAAAAAACACUGGAUGUUCCUGUGCACUGCUCCUAAGAGAUGGUUCUGAAUACCAGUUCGGGGAGAGGUCAAAAUACUGGACAGAAUCUCAGCAACAUGGAACCUCAAAGUAAGUGACAGUCACAGACAACCCUUCCCCAAAGAAAAUAAGCACAGACAUGGUUUGUGGUAAGCAGAAUUGUACAGAUGAAUUCCCAUCUCCCUGUCAGAUGACCAAUAUGGUAAAUUACCAGAUUACCUGGUUAUUUAUUCAAACGCUAAUACAGUUAUUGCCUUGAUGGAACCAUACAGAUACAAUUAAAAUCCCAAGUACCAAAUAAAUUGACGCUAAGACAAAGACUAAGUAAAUCACAUGAGCCCUCUACAAGCAGAGAGUUUUUCUCCAGCUGGUAGCAGAAGCCAGGAAUUUGAAGCAUAAGAAGUAUUCAACACAUUAUUGCUGGCCUGAAAAUGGAAGGGGCACAUAACGAGGGAAACUGGUGCCUCUAGAAGCAGGGAACAGUCCCCUGCUGACAGACAGCAAGCCAAGACCUCAGUUCUACAAUUGCAAGAUACUCAAUUCUGCUAAGGACAAAAAUGAGCUUGGAAGUGAACUCUGAGCUUCAGGUGAGAACAUGGCCAAACAACACCUUGAUUUCAGCUUAAACAAAGAAUGCAGCCACUCCAUGCCAGAAUUCUGACCUGUAGAAAUUUGAGCUAAUAAAUAGAUGUUUU
rnacentral:lncRNA from 1 species